GGCUGAUUCCCCAGGGGUUACUGGCACUGACUCUGAACUGAUAAGGACAUCCAGGACUGAGGUCUUCGAUAACGAGAAGUGGAAACUUCCCUUCCAGCAGCCAGAUGUAGAGUUUCUCGGGUUGAAGAGGACAAGAGAAGUCCUGUCUUCCCACUCCAUCCCAGCUCAGGCUCCUGUAGCCCAGGCCUCCACCAGUGAACACACAUACUCUACAGCAAAAAAACUGAAAAAAGAGUGAGAAUGUUGCCAACUCUGUAAUGGCCUGGAUUUCCUAUUAUGAUGGGAACCCACAAGGGAGCAAGACACUGAGUCCACGUCAAGGUCUCACAGACGUGACAGACGACAAGUGGGAGAAGCAAGGAGCAGGUCCAUGCUAUGGAGAAGGGCUUCAUAAAGCAGCCCUGUGGCCGUGCUUCCACACGACAGCACCCCAAACUGCUGCCAGAAGUCCGUCUUAUUCCUCUUUUUCAUUACUUAACUUCAACAGUGUCAAGUAUAUUAUUGAAUAUAUGUGUCAUUUAAAAAAACAAAUAUUCCUGGGCCGGCAG